rnacentral:tRNA from 1 species
GGUGAGAUGGCCGAGCGGUCUAAGGCGCCAGACUAAGGAGACCAGCGCAUUUGAUGCGUAGCUACAUCUGGUCACGUUGUGGCGUGGGUUCGAAUCCCACUCUCAUCA